GUCUGCCCGCGCCUGCUCCAGAGCAGCUCGCUCGCAUCUGUCUGGUGACUUUCCGCUGGGAGCUGACUCUGGACGGCACAACCCUCUAGUUUGACUUGAUGAUCUCUAACUUCCCUUCGUAGUCAGAGAGUUUAGAAUGUUUGCCUGUAAACACGGCUGUGUUGUCUUCAUUCCCGUUCCAUCAGUCAGCUGCAGUGACAUGGAGCCCCAGCUGUAGAGGCUUUCAGUAGCAGGCAAGUUCCUGCUGUUACGUGACCAUCACGGGUCGGCGUGGGGCCCUCUUGUGUCUUCCUGCUGAGCCCUGGGAGGAAAGAGCAGCGUUGGUCUGGAAUACGUCGAGCCUGCAGCAGAGAGAAAAGAGCAAUGGCAGACCACGUCACCUCUUAAACCUUUUUCUGAAAGGGCUUCACGUCAGUUCCACUCUCAUUUCAUUGACCAAAACAGCCACGUAGUCAGCCUGAAGUAUAACCCUCCUAUUAGGAAGGGUCAGCAAAUAUUUUUUUUAAAAUGAUACAAUUUACCUUAUAUAGCUUAGCCAGGAGCGUCUUGAAGAGAGGAACCAUCUUUGAAUCCUUAUUGUAGCCGAAGCCAUCAUUUUCCUGGCCCUAACUUUUGUGCGUGCCCACCUGAGCAUGUCCAACCACUAGCAUGGUUGCCUCUUGGUCUGUGGCUUUCUCUGGUGACCAGAGUCUCCUGGCCCACAUGCCAGACAGGCUGGAAGUGCCCAGGAGGUGGCACCUCCUGGGAGGAACAGGCUCGCCCCUGGAUUGAAGUUGCUCUGAGACACAUUCCACACUGCCUCCCAGGGUUCCUGUGGCAGUGAGCCCGCUGCCCAGAGCAGGAACCUGCACCAACAACCCCUGUUCUUGGCCUCCCUUCUUCCCCGUCUUGCUUUACCACGUCCCUGCUGAUGCUUUCUGGAAUCAAUCAAAUACACCUGAACCCUUUACACUCAUAUCCUUAUCUCAGGGUCUGCUUCUGGGGGAACCCCAUCUAAGACGUCUACCAUGUGGAUUAAGGCCUGGCAAGCAAUCGACGCUUACAGAGUGUUGAUCAUCAUGGUCAGAAGAAGCCCAGGGAAGAUGCAGACAUUUUCCUGAGAAAUAUUGCUCCAGGGAAACAUGUAAAGCUGGAUUUUAAAUUUAAUAUUUCUUUUAGCGUGUCUAACAAGAUCACCUGCAUAUAACUUGACAUUUAAAAAUUUUAUCACGUCUUAUAUUUUCACGUUUCUGAUGACUUCUUCUACCUGGUAUCCUUUCUCUACCAACCCCCAUGUCUUAGUCCAAAUUUUAAAGUCCUACAAAAGAUCAUGAUGUGAAAAUUAAUGAUAAUAAUAACAGCCAUGGCCAGUAAUUGUCGGGCGUUUGCUCUGUGCUGAGCACCGUCCUCAGGGCUCGGCACCUGUGAACUCAGUUAAGCAUCACAACAAACCAGGAGCACGGUAUCAUUAUUUGUCUCCAGUUGGUUAAUUAAGAAAGGCACAAAGAGAACGCAAUUAUUAUUAUUUUUAGAUGAUACAUUUGAAUAUUUAGAAACCCAAAGGAGCAAACUUUAAAACUGAUAGAAUUAAUAAAACAGUUUAGUAACGGAGUCAGAAAAAUACUUCAUUAGACAAAAGUAUCGGAUAAGAUUUAUCACUUCCCCUCAUUAUAGGCUCUUUUAUAAUAUAUUCAACUGUAGCCCCCACCUCAUGACUCUGAGCAACCGGGCCAGGGAAGUACAUAGUCUAAGGCCAGAGAGGAAGGCCAGUUUUGAGAAUUUAAGCCAAGAGACAAGAAGACUUGUUAGGUGAAUUUGUGGCUG